AUGUGGUAAGGGAAAAUAAUGAUACUACCUUACUUAUAGUGUUGUCUAAAGCUGGUGCCAGAAGACUCGGUAAAGCCAGAAACGCAAACGUUAAUCAUCAUAAACAGGCGUAAAGGGUUAGUAGGCUGCUUUUUAGUUAAUAAUUUAAUCUUAACCCCUUAAGUUUAAAAAUAAAAUAAUAAAAUUUUUUUAUUAGUUUAUUUAUAUUAAUCUUUAGAGCUAGAAUCAAAAAGAAGUUAAAAAGUAUAAUACUUAGAGUAGGGAUAAUAUCUGGAGAUACUAGGCGGAAUACUAAAGGUGUAAACAACUAACUAUAAAUGAUUGACGCUGAGAGACGAAGGUGAGGACAGGAAAUAGGAUUAGAUACCCCGGUACCCCUCUCUGUAAACGAUGAAUGGUAAUCAUUAGUAUAUUACUGGUGGUAAAGUUAACACGUUAACCAUUCCGCCUUGGGAGUACGACUGCAAAGUUGAAAACAAAAAAAUUAGUCGGUCUCGAAGCAAACGGAGUGAAG
rnacentral:rRNA from 1 species